UUAUAUACAUUAUUUUAUAUACAUUAUUAUAUACAAUGAGUCCCGUCUGAUUGGCUGAUUAACUUCCUCCUGGAGCCUGAUUGGUCUUUUCCUGCAAGCCAAUCAGUUGUUGCAUUCUAGGAUCCUACUUGCCUAUUGUUCUAGGAUCCAAGCUUAGUACAUAACAACAGGGUUCUUCUGCUCCUUCUGCAGAGAUGUUCCUCUUCUCAAGCAAAUGUAACCUGCAAAGAUGCUGCACUGUGCAUAGGAAGCCACCUUUAUGGAGUCAGACAAUUGGUCCACACCGCUAGGUAUCACUCUGACUGGCAGUGGUUCCUCAGGAUUUCAGGCUGGAGUCCUUCCAAGCCUGACUCAGAGAUGCCAGGGAUCUUUCAGAUGCAAAGCAGGUGCUCUACCACUGAGCUACAUCUCUUCCCAUGACUAGAACUGUGGUGAGUGCCCAUUCAUUUGAAAAUGUCUGUACAGGGGGAGAGAAAGGGUUAAUAGGUAGACCAAUAGAAAAGCCAGAGGCGGAGCCUACCUGUUUAUAAAAGGGCUUAGCCCGAGGUUUGGUUAGUUAGUUAGUUAGUUGGUUGGGAAAAGGCAGUUGGGAAAACAGUUGACAGACAAAUGGAAUUAGAGAGACAGUGCAGUUGGUUCUUGUGUGAGGGGAGGUAGAAGAGUUAGAGAGAGAAUAAAAUAAGACUAAGAGGGUAAAGAGGGAUGCGGGUGGCGCUGUGGGUUAAACCACAGAGUCUAGGACUUGCCAAUCAGAAGGUCGGCGGUUCGAAUCCCUGCGACGGGGUGAGCUCUCGUCGUUUGGUCCCAGCUCCUGCCAACCUAGCAGUUCGAAAGCACAUCAAAGUGCAAGUACAGUGGUGCCUCGCAAGACGAAAUUAAUCCAUUCCGCGAGUCUCUUCGUCUAGCGGUUUUUUUGUCUUGCGAAGCAACCCUAUUAGCAGCUUAGCGGAUUAGCGCUAUUAGCGGUUUAGCGGCUAUUAAAGGCUUAGCGGCUUAGCGGCUAAAAGGCUAUUAGCGGCUUAGCGGCUUAGCGGCUAAAAGGCUAUUAGCGGCUUAGCGGCUUAGAAAAAGGGGGGGAAGUGAAAAAAAUCUCAAGACUCGCAAGACAUUUUUGUCUUGCAAAGCAAGCCCAUAGGCAAAUUUGUCCUGCGAAGCACAUUGAAAAACGGAAAACCCUUUCAUCUAGCGGGUUUUUCGUCUUGCGAGGCAUCCGUCUUGCGGGGCACCACUGUAGAUAAAUAGGUACCGCUCUGGCGGGAAGGUAAACGGCGUUUCCGUGCGCUGCUCUGGUUCGCCAGAAGCGGCUUAGUCAUGCUGGCCACAUGACCUGGAAGCUGUACGCCGGCUCCCUCGGCCAGUAAAGCGAGAUGAGCACCGCAACCCCAGAGUCAGCCACGACUGGACCUAAUGGUCAGGGGUCCCUUUACCUUUACCUUUAAGAGGGUAAAGGGUAACAGCGUUUCGAAUGCAUUUAAAGUUUAUUUGUUUUUGUAAUAAACUACAGUCUUCAUUUUUAAUUUAAGAACCUGACUGAGACUAAGUGAUUUACGGGGGAGGACCUGGUUGGUGGCAGCGGAUUAGGGGUGUACGGGUCACUAGUCCGUGAGACGACCGGGGGCUUUGUACGAACGCCACAAGAACAAUCAACACUGGCUUAUUAUGCUUGUCACCUAUCUGUAUCAACCCUUUACAAAACCCUAGUGUAGGUUCAGAGUGAUGGCAGCGAUGGCGUGUAUGCAGCAGAGGCUGGACUCUCCAGCUUGCCUGGAGGAACCUAGGCUGCUUGGCUGCUUCUGCCAGCCAGCAACUUUGACAACGCAAAACAGCUAAAUAGUCCUUAUUCCCACUGACACUUCUGUGAGGGCGGAUGACUCAUUGCAGAUUCACAUCAUUAUAAUUUUUUCCCCUUCCCCGGAGUGACUUUUUGCCCUCAGAACUCAACAUUGAGUCAUCCACACCACAGAUAUAUGCAUGCAGAUAGAAGGAAUGAAAUUUACUGCAUGUACUACAAUAAAAGAAAAUGUUAUGAAAAUGUUAUAUAGAUGGUAUGUUACACCAGUAAAACUUGGAAAGAUGUAUAAAGUGAGUAAUAAAUGUUGGAAAUGUCAGGAGAAAGAAGGAACAUUCUAUCAUAUGUGGUGGGAAUGUAAAAAAAAUGAAAGGUUUCUGGGAAAUGAUUUAUAAUGAAUUGAAAAAAAUGUUGAAAUAUACCUUUGUUAAAAACCAGAAACUUUUCUGUUAGGAAUACUAAGAAAUGACAUAAAAAAGAAGGAUGAGAAGUUGUUUUUAUAUGCAGUAACAGCGGCAAGAAUUUUGGUGGCACAAAAAUGGAAACAGGAAGAAAUCCCGACGAAAGAAGAAUAGAGAAUGAAGUUGAUGGAAUACGCAGAAUUAGACAAGCUAACGGGGAGAAUUCGGAACCAGCGAGACCAGAGAUUUACCGAGGACUGGAAUAAAUUUACAGAGUAUAUUAAAAAUGUAUGUGAAGGUCAAUUAACGUUUGUAGGUUUUCAAGAAGCUCUGUGAUAAUAAUGGAAAGAAAUAUUGUUUUAUAAUAAUUGCUAAGAUUAAUUUGGUUUAAAAAAAAAACAAUACAGAUGCAAGAAAUGUGAAUAACUGUGAAAACAUGAAAAUUCCCAGAUAGACUGAAGGAAGUCUGAAAGUGGAAAGAUUAGAAUUGGAUGUAUAAUUCAAAUGGAAUAUUUUUCUUUUAUUGUUAUAUUUGAAAAUUUUAUAAAUAAUUUUUUUUAAAAAAAAGAUAUAUGCAUGCAGAUAAGUGGUGGGAGGUGACAGAGGGGCAGGGGUGGAAGUUACCUCAUGGUGGCAGAAAUGGUGAUUGGAUUUGGUUGUGGUGUAGCCCUUCAUAAGAGGGUCCUUCGCUUUUCUAGGAAGUCCCCUAACGAUGUCCAUUUUAGGAAGAGCAGAAAAGCAAGAUACUGACAGGACUUAAUUUACGUUCAACUAGUGUAGGAACAUAAGGAGCCAACUUAUUCUAAGGGUACAUUCAGACAUUGGGAAUAUUGCUGUGGUUUUCCUGAUUAUAAUGCCUGGGCUUUUAUCCCAUUUCUGUCACUGUUUGACCAAUAAACUGGCAAUGCCUCAAUACCUCAAGGACCGUCUCUUCCCAUAUAAACUGACCUGGACUCUGCAAUCAUCAUCUGAGGCCCUUCUUGGUGUGCCUCCUCCGCAAGAUGUAUGGAGGGUGGCAACACAAGAACAGGCCCAUUGGUAGAAUGCACUCCCCAGAGAAGUUUGUCUGGUGCCUUCAUUACAUAUCUUUAGGUACCAGAUGAAAAUGUUCCUCUUCCACCAGCCCUUUGGCUGAUUAAUAUUCUAAGGCCUUUUGAAUGUGUGGGAGUGGGAGGUUAUAGUCUUGUUUUGGUAUGGUUUUAACUAUUUAUUUUGUGCUUCUUUCCUGUAUUUUUAUUUUGUGAACCACCCUGAGAUCUUCAGAUGAAGGACGGUAUAUAAAUUUAACAAUUAAUAAUAAAUAAUGUCAUCCACACCUGUGGGUGUGGUGUGACACAACAACAAAGGUCAUCAGACGACAUCGCUGCUCCCCACCCUUUCCAAACAUGAUUGCUUCUUUUCCCUCAUGAAAGCAGCAGGAAAGAGCUGUUUGUUGAUGUGCUGUCCCCAAUUCAAUCACUUUACUCUUGCCAUUUUCCAGGUUAAGGGGACUGCAAACAGAUUCUUUUCUGGAAUCAAAUAACAUGGAAAUGAGCACUCAAAUGCGCUAUAUUCCAUUAAUUUUCCAGCAGUGCCUUUUACAUCGUGCAAAAGCUCAAAUAUAAUGCCGAAAUUAACAGUUAGGGGCAUGUCAGGGAAAUGGAAUAAACCUCUGUGUGAACGCUGCUGCCAGAGUCCGACCAUUGGUUCAUGUAGCUCAGUACAGUCUACACUGACUGGUAGCAAGGUUUCGUGAAGGGGGUCUUUCCCAGGGGUCCUCUGCAUGCAAAGCAGAUGUUGCCCACUGGGUUACAGCCCAAGAUGCAAGACAACACAAAACAUACUUUCACUUUUAGAAAUUUAACCUAACAGAAAAGCUGUGAGUAUCUUCCCUUUCAUUCCAGACAUGUUCCACAUGCAAAAAACGGUUUAUUAUUAUGGAUGAUGUUCUACAGCAAGGAUGCUGAAAUGCUACAACUACUUUGGACAACUGGAGUGGACUAUUUACAAUCCAGUAGAAAUGUUAUUUACUUAUAAGAGGAAGAAGAGGUCUUCAAGAUGAGCUGGUCUACCAGCAAUUGCACAAUAAUCAUUUUUCAUUCCCUCCUCUAUUUUUAACUGAAAGAUAUACUUUGCUGAAUUACGUCUAUAAUGACCUUCUCUAAUGUACUUUAAGUUCCAUAAUUGAAACAUCCUAAAGCUUUAAAAAUCAAUGAAAAAGGUCUAAAAUCAAUGAAAGAAAAGAUUCGUAAUUCCUGCAAGGAGCCUCUUUUUAAAACACUGGGUUUAAUUUUUCUCAGACGAGUGUGCUCAUGUACGCAGAGAGUGAUGUGAAAUAGUAGUCGAUCUAUCUGAUCUGAUGCUCCCUUGCACAGUGUAGAGGUAAGGGAAUUCUGGUCCGUUGACCACCCCCUGCUCCCUUUGCAGAAGCAGAAGAACCACCCACCAUUUCAGAAGGUAUCAGCAGCUGUGACAUGCAAGAAAUAUUUGGGGUUUCAAGGAAGAGGGUGAAGGGAGACAUAUUUGGACCACUGGUGAAGUCCAGAAGGUGGUUUCAAAGGAGUUGAGAUGGCUUCACAGAGAAUAUGACUAUCAAUGACUACUAGCCAAUGAUGCCUAUGUUAAAUCUCUACUUUCAGAGGCAGUAAGCUUAUUUGGAGAGUGCUGUUGCGUUCAUGUGCUUCUUGCGGGCUUCACACAGGCAUCUGGUUGGUCACUGUGAGAACAGGAUGCUGGACUAGAUAAGCCAUUGGCCUGAUCCAGUAGGCUGUUAUGUUCUUAUGACAGAGGUUCAGCUCCAUCCUUUGACUAGGCGACUGUAGUUUGGUGGUUUAGAAACUGUAUGGCUGCUAACCCCAGUCGUAUUCAUUACAGAUUAUUUGUAUCUAUUACUUUCAGAAAAUGGCUGCUCUGGUGUCCGUAGGAUGAGCCAUUCCACUAGGUGAAUUCAAAGUCUCACAGUGAUGGAUCAUAUGCUUCUGUUAAUCCUGAGGUACAGUCAUUUGCAAUUCAGUAGCUAAGCGCUGUCGAAUGCUGUGAGGGCCUCAAGUACGCAGCUGAGGUGAGCAUUCCCCAUCUGCUCCAGAACAAUAGGCUAAGGCUGAAUUUGAGGUAGUUAACAGGCUUACAUAAUUUUUCUCAAGGAGAAGAGAAUCCCAUGGCUGCUAACUGUCAAACCUGCUUACUUUUCAACCUAUUUAAAUGCAGAGUCAGCUCAGUCAUCUGACAAUGAGCCCCUGUCCGGCUACUUUGGCAAGUUAGAUUAGUUGCAAAAAAGGAUCUUUGAAUUUAUCAAAUUUACCUCUCUCUCUCUUUAGCUCUACAUUUUCUGGAAUGUAGUUCUGUUCCAAAAUUAGCAUCACAUAAACCUACUGGCAGCAGAGAGCAGCUGUAGAAUGUCAACAUGCUCUGAGCUGCUUCUUGGAUCCCAGUUAAUACAGAGAGCAGAUGCUGAGGCAUUAGGCAAUACUGUGGGAAGAACCAAAAUGGCCACCGUCCUCAGUUGCAAAAUUACCUUGACUCAAGUUAGGAAGUUAAGAGCACCAGUUCCUGUAUUGUCUUUUUAUUUUCCCCGGUGUGUGCUGUAAAUAGCUCUGAGCAGAAUGAUUAUAGGGACAUAGUCCUUAUACUGAGCCAGACCAUUGACCCAUCAAGCUCAGUACUGUCUACACCAGGGUUUCCCAAACUUGGGUCUCCUGCUGUGGUUGGACUACAACUCCCAUCAUCCCUAGCUAGCAGAAUUAGUGUUCAGGGAUGAUGGGAACUGUAGUUCAAAAACAGCCAGACACCCAAGUUUGGGAAACCUUGGUCUACACUGAGGUCGCAUUCAUGCCAUACAUUCAAAGCACUGUGGUACCACUUUAAACAAUCAUGCCUUCCACCAAAGAAUUCUGGGAGCUGUAGUUUAAGGGUGCUGAAAGUUAUUAGGAGCCCCCACAGAGCUACAAUUCUCAGUGUGGUUUAACAGUCAAGCCCUGUUCCCAAGGAACUCUGGGAACUGUGAGGGGAAUAGGUGCCUCCUAACAACUCUCAGCACCCUUAACAAACCACAGCUCCCAGAAUUCUCUGGGGCAAACUGUGGCUGUUAAAGUGGUAUCAUAGUACUUCAAAUGUAUGGUGUGAAUGUGGCCUAACUGGUUAGCAGCUCUCCAGGGCUUCAGGUUGGGUUAUCGUCCAGUUUUACCUGGAGAUGCCAGGGAUUUAAUUUUUGAUAUUCUGCAUGCAGAGCAUCUACUCUGCUGCUAAGUUAUAGCACUUCCUGAUUAGGGGCCAACACUAGAAAGAAGACCACCUUACAAUAGUACUGCCAGUCCAAUGAAUGACUUCAUAGCCAGUCUUGAUAUAUUACCAUCUUUGUUACGGACUCUUAUCCCCGGGGUAACAAUGACUGCAUGACCCAUCCCUGCUAAAAAUGCUCUGAAUCAAUUUUGCUUUCAGCUAUGUUUGUACAAAACACAAAUCAAUAGUACCUUCUAAGUUAUUUUCUGAAACUUGAUUCUCCCAUCCCCAUCCGGUGAAAUACUGCUGGUGAGACACAAGUUCAAAAUGACCUGUCAGGUAGGAUGCAGUUUAUGGUUCUGAAAACCAAGUUAGGCUGCAAUUCUGUACCCGUUUGCCUUGAUGCAAGCCUCGUUAAAAUCAACGGGGCUUCUUUCUGAGCAGAUAUGUAUAGGGUUGUGCUGUUGGUGUUCACACUAGGUAGCUCAGUUGGUUAGAGCAUGGUGCUGAUAAUGCCAAGGUCACAGGUUUGAUCCCCAUAAGGGACAGCUACAUAUUCCUUCAUUGCAGGGGAUUGGACAAGAUGAUCCUCAAGGUCCCUUCCAACUGUACAGUUCUAUGAUUCUAUGUAUACAUAAGACCUGAAACACCUUGCCAAGGUGACUUGAAUUUUAAAAUUUGGUCUUCAGGAGACAUGAGUUAUGGACUCCGCUUGAAACCCUGGAAAGGCACAACCAAUCACUGUAGACAAUACUGCUUCAGAUGAACCAAAGUCAGACUCAAUAUAAGGCAGCUUUCUAGGUUCCUAAUGUUCUAGGACACAGCAACUGACUGCACCAUAUUGCUUGUUUUGCUUUGGGAGACAGAGUUUUGCUGGAGGGAGGGGAGCUGGUCUGAGAGCUAAUAGGACAGAGAGAGAAAGAGAGAGUUGAGGUUGAGAAGGGAGAGUCUGAGCUCUGAAGAGCAAGCUUCUACUACCCUUCUCUAAUGUUCAUGAACUGUACCUUUUCAGCAGAAGCAUUGCUAGGUACUUAAAAGGCCCAGGCCCAGGUCCAUGACAAACUUUACAUAAAAUUUGCAUAUGCUGAUUUUUAAGUACUAGAUGUCUUCGGAUGGCUGGGAUCUCACUACAGUCCCCCAACAUUUCUCUGAUGAAAACAGGAACGUUCUAUUUCAUACUACUACUACCACUAAUAAUAAUAAUAAUAUGUGGGGUAUAAAUAAUUAAAGUGUUAUUGUUAUUGUUGUUACUAUUAUUAUUAUUAUUAUUAUUACCCCCACCCAUCUGACUGAGUUGCCCCAGACACUCUGGAUGGCUUCUAACAUAUAUAAAAACAUAAUAAAACAUUAAAAAUAACUUCUCUAUAUAGGGCUGCUCUCAGAUGUCUUCUAAAGGUUCUAUAGUUACAUAACUCGUUGGCUUGGGGGUCACGUAACUGACCAUACCCUCCAACAUUUCUCUGAUGAAAAUAGGGAUGUCUUAAGGAAAAGCGGGACAUUCCAGUAUCAAAUCAGAAACCAGGGCAACUUCUGUUCAUCCAGGACUGUUCCUGGAAAAUAGGGACACUUAGAGAGUUUAUCACUAUACUGUGCUUUCCAUUUCAUCCAGCCACCCUAUAAGCACAGCAUUGAAAAGUAGGGGAAAGAGACAGGAGAACUGGGGCCCACCACCACAAAAGUCCUAGAAGGUCAACUAAUCUAACAAUGAUCCUGCUUCUCAGUACAGUUGGCAUUCAUUUUGGACUCUGUUUUUAGUUUAAUAGCGAACCAUUUUGAGCUUUCCUGCCCUUAAAAAAAACACCUUCCAGAGUCCCUCUCUAUUAACUGCUAUAAUUGAUGAAGCUCUGGGGCAAUUUUUUCCAACCAUUUCUCUGAACAUUGUGUUGAUUUUCUUGAUUUGAACACAAACACCCUUUUUGCUACAUUUAAAAAAUGUUGAGAGAGAGAGCUGAGUCAAAUGUUAAUCUUGAUUGAAUGCCGGUGAAUUGAUGGUGUGUUAGCACAAAUAAGACCUCAUCCUUCUUUAUUUGGUUGAUGGAUGAUCAAUGAUGGAUGGAGAGUCUUUAUCAUAUCAAAAAGAAUUCACUCAAGGAUGCAGGAGAACAAGUAUUUCCAGAGAAGCUUUCUUAGUUAUGGUGCAGUUGAAAUUAGAAUUUAUUUUCAUACAUUUGUGAGGCCAGGUUCCUGUGGGGAGUCCUCAGGUCCAAGAACUCUUCCAAGUCCAAGUUUUUAAAAAAUGAAAAAUUGGAAAUCAACUCCUGUUACAUAGUACUGUAGCUAAGAUGGGAAACGAAACUGGCAAUAACAUUAUUAUGGCGUCUCUCCUUUUGGUUUUUCAUUAGCAAAAAAGAAAUGAUAAACAGAAGAAUCGUUGCAAUAACCGAUAACAAGUGAGAUGGAAUAAUGAACUGUGUGGAAAUGAAUCAUUAACUAAAGGCUUUGCUUUGUGGAAGAUCUGGAAAGGAAAUGGAAGGCUUUUGGGAUGACGCAGUUCUAAAAGAGAACCGCCAUGACAAGACAGGCUCUGUUGCAGGAUUGGCGGUCAAGAGGGGGAGGAAGCCACGGCUUUGUUAUCAUAUUUGACUCUGUGUUUGAUCUGGCAGAACCCCCUGAAAAGAUUGAUGUCGGAGCAACAGGUCUGUGAAAGCUAAUGAGCAGACGCUAAGACUACAUUCUAUGGAAAUGCUGAAAUGCCGUCUGCCGUCUGAAUAUGACUUUUGGAUUAAUGUGAAAAUCCACACAGGACUAUAACAACGUUUGUUUCAACUCGCUUGUGGAGACUUUCAGAGGUUAUAAAGAAAGGAAAAAAAUACGAUAACAACAAGAAAAUUGAAAGAUGAUUUGUAAAGAAAAACAACAAAGAGAUGAAUGGACAGAACUGUGAACAUCAAAGCAGUAGAAAUAAGAGAUGAUUGGAUCCCUUUCUGAGCUCGAAGCAUGGGUACCCCCAAC